CAAUCUGAUUGGUUGCUGUGGGCAACUACGCCACUCUUCCUUUACCCAGGUGUUGAUAAAUCUCCCCCACUGACUGGUCACAUGUCUGACAGAAAGUUGUAUCCAAAGCUGUUGUCUGUUUCCAAGGUACACCUCAACAGCGUCCUCCGCCAAAGACUAAGCCAGUGUGGUGUAGCCUUUUGAGUCCAGCAAAAUAAAAGAAUAUAUUUCGGAAAUAGACCGAAAACAGUCACUAGUAGAACAUGCCCAGUAUGGGACCCUGCACUAUAAGAUAGCAGCAGCCAUAUACUAAUAGAGCUGGAGAAGAGUUGAUGCGGCUGUGCUGGAGAAAAACAGAUGGUGCUGUAGGACUAGUGAUGGUGACUGUGCGUGAUAUGGGCA